UGUGGACCUCGACCCCAUCACGUCGCCCGGAGUGAGCUCCCCUAGCAAAACUCUUUCAUCGCCGAUGAUUGCGUCGAUCAUCGCAUCGUCGCAUCGUGACGAAGGACUGAUGGCGAAGAUCCUGCUUGAUUGCAGAACUUGAAGCUGAUUCUAGGGUGGAACCUGUUCAGUGAAUUCUUGAGCAACAUGAGAAGCAUAUGCAGAUGUAGAUGAUGAUCUCAAAGGUGAUCAGCACAGAAGAGAGAUAACAGUCACAGAUAAAGUACAAGCAUGGAUAUUUGAUGUAUGGUACUGACUGGACUUCUUGUUUAUUGAUAUUUGGUCCAAAUACUUUUAUCCUCUCAGCUGAAAAUGAAAGAGGCUUGUAGGAUGUUGGGACAACUUGCAGGAAGACAGACCAUACUACCAGCUAUACUAUAGCCAUCAAAUGAUUGCAAAAGCAAUUGGCCAUGAUUUUGUGACAUUUGCUGAAAAAGUUCUUACAUUAAAUAGAAAUGUUAAGAACAUUGUUAUUGUUGUUGCAUACAAUAAAUGUUUCAAAAUUUU